GUAGUCCACACUGUAAACGAUGGAUGUUAGCCGUUGGGGGGUUACCUCUCAGUGGCGUAGCUAACGCGUUAAACAUCCCGCCUGGGGAGUACGGUCGCAAGAUUAAAACUCAAAGAAAUUGACGGGGACCCGCACAAGCGGUGGAACAUGUGGUUUAAUUCGAGGCAACGCGAAGAACCUUACCAGGACUCGACUUGCCCUCUAUGGAUCGCUGAAAGGCAAUCCUUCACUUCGGGUGGGAGGAGCACAGGUGCUGCAUGGCUGUCGUCAGCUCGUGUCGUGAGAUGUUGGGUUAAGUCCCGCAACGAGCGCAACCCUCAUUCUCUGUUGCUAACAGGUUAAGCUGAGCACUCUGAGAAAACUGCCGGUGAUAAGCCGGA
rnacentral:rRNA from 1 species